ensembl:lncRNA
GUUCAGUAGUAUAUGCCUAAAUGAGGCCGUAGCAAAGUUAACGGACGAGCAGAGGUGGUGACGUCAUCGAGUCCGCUGCUGUUCCAAUCGCAGAAGUGUGCCGUGGGCACUACCGGAAGGGGCGGGCCUUCGCCCAAGUUUUCCCGCUUCUCAGUUUGGGGCGGAAUCAACUGAACAAUAGAAUCUCGGAUCUCCAUUUUUGUGCCAUUCAAGUGAAUGUGCUGUAGGCCGACCAGUCAGAUGAGUAACUCAGUGGAGGAAGUGAGACACCAUAUCAAUACUUUAAACAUCUGUUCAUGCAACAUUGGAGGACUUUGCGGAUAUCAGGAGCUACUUUUCCACAACAAAAUGGAACCGCCUCUGAAUGGCAGAGAAAAAAAGAUUCCUGCAGAUCAUGGAAAACCAUUUGGUUAUGUCAUCUCUUGCCUUCAUGAGGAGAGAGAAGCCCGGCCAGGUGAGAGUCUGCUCACCUGAGACAGACUCUGAGGAGGAGCAGCUCUGGACCUCUUGAUUGACCAGUACAAAGACAUUUCUGGAAGGAGUAAUGUGCAGUGAACAUUAUCCCUUUCAAAGCCAUGAAGAAACAUUAGCCCGCUUAUACUGCUUAAUCAUUUAACCAAAGAUAUAGCAACAAAAAGAGGUUUUAUUGAUUUAAAGGGAUUUUAUUGCAUCUGAAAAAAAGGAAAACCUGUACUAAACAUAUUUAAUAAUAGGUUGUACCUCAUAGUAAAUUAGCAGGUUAUAUUACCCAUUUUAGUCAGUUAGUUGAAGUGAGUCGUUUAUGUUGCAGGCUUACAGAAACGCAGGCAGAGGCUGCAAUUGCGUUGGAGUAACACUCCGUUUAUUUUAAAGCAAAACCGAAGAGAUAUGUUCCGACAAUAGUGUUCUCUCUCAGGCUGUAAGCUUCUACGUCAAUCAAAAAACUUCUUCUUCUACACCGAAAAUAAUAAACACAUCAACAACGGAGCUUUCCUCUUCUGCUCCAAACCUCCUUAGUGGCGGAACUUAGUCAUAACAUCUUCGAAUAUUAAUUGGCAUGAAACAGGAAAAAUCAUUUAUACAAUUAUAGAACAUAUAUUAAAUAACUUGGAUUGCCCACAAAAACUAAAUGAAUACCGUGUUGACCAUGUAAACCUAUACCUCUACACUCUCCCCCACUUGAAAAAAUGUCGUCCCGACAUCUUAGUAUACCUUCUUGCCUUUCACACAAAUACAGCGACAUGCAAAAAAUUGAAUGGGAACAUCAAGGUUAUAACCUUGUUUAUGAGAUACCCAGACUACCAUGCACUGCAGUCAGGGAUACUCCUAAUGUGAUGUCAUUAGUCUUCGUACCCAAACACAUUUAAUGCAUAUUCCACAUCCCUGAAGUCAAACAUUUGGUUGAGUCAUUUCUUUUCUCUAUAACUGAUACCCAACACACACACAACAGAUCAAUCAGCCAACAGUCUGUGUUACCUACUACAAAACAAAACACAAGAUACAUCACGGUACAAUUCAAAACAGGUAAGGAGUGUCUUUUCAGUUUACAAUGUCCCUUACAUCUAUACCCUGGGUGGAAACUAUUCGUUCUGUGAAGUGCGGCUGGCCAAGUCUAUCAUAAGUCAGUGUUUGGGGAUGUCUCCUCUGUCUCUUUGGAUAUGGGUCCCGCAGCUCUGUCUCAAUAAUUUCAUCCCCUGAGCUCACUUCAUCGACACCAGCAGCCUCUUCUGCGCUGUCGUCCAAAGCUGCUGUGUGGGCCUGUUCGUCUUCAACAAGAGGAGGCUCACACACUUCUGGGACAGCCUCUUCGGCUUGUGUAUAAAACUCCUCAGCUGUGGGGUCAAGCGAUGGUGGGCCUCGAGGUUCAGCUGGAGAACAAGUGAAUGUCACUGCAGGAAAAUCAUCAUCAGAGUCUUCACUGUCCAUUUGUUGAGCUUGUCCAACAAAUGUUUUUGUUUGUUUUUGUCCCUGUUACCUCUCCUUGUAUGAGUUGUGGUGGGAAUGUUCUGUCCAUGUGUGGUGACUGGGAGGAAGUCACAGGGUAAAAGCUAACCCUUUCUGUGAAGGAUUCUUGUCCUGCCUCGACCACAUUCUGGUUCGACUUCAAACACAGGACUGUCCUCACCUUUUUGACCCUUGAUGACAUAAAUGUUAUCCUCCCAGUAGGAGCGGAUUUUCCCUGGUCCUCCUCUCUCAGUCACAUUUCUCACUAAAACACGGCUGCCUACUUGGAGUGUGGGACCGUACCUUUUUUUAUCAUACUGUCUCUUUCCUCUGUCCGCUGACUUGGAAGCAUUUCUGGAAGCAAUGUCAUACGCUUCUGCCAUCCUCCGUCCCCACUUUUCCACAUACUCUUGGGAGGAGCGGGCGCAGUUCUCACUCUCUGUCUCGAACAACAAAUCCACUGGCAGUCGAGGCGGCCUGCCAAACAGGAGAAAGA